rnacentral:rRNA from 1 species
UACGUAGGGUACGAGCGUUGUCCGGAAUUAUUGGGUGUAAAGAGCUCGUAGGUGGUUGGUCACGUCUGCUGUGAAAUCCCGGGGCUCAACUCCGGGCCUGCAGUGGGUACGGGCAGGCUAGAGUGCGGUAGGGGAGAUUGGAAUUCCUGGUGUAGCGGUGGAAUGCGCAGAUAUCAGGAGGAACACCGGUGGCGAAGGCGGGACUCUGGGCUGUAACUGACACUGAGGAGCGAAAGCAUGGGGAGCGAACAGG